CUAUUAUACAUGUUGUAAUGUUGAAUAUUCAAUUUGACGAUGCGACGUCUGAUAUCGCACAACAAUAAUUUACAUAAAAUAAUAUAGGUACUCGUAAACUCGGUUUCCCGUUUAUUUUAUUUUAGAAACCCGCCCCGCACAUCGCAGUUGACGUAAAUUAAUUGUAGUCAUAAACGUCUUAGAGCUUAGACUAAAAUAAUGUUACAAAAACGUAACGGCGAAACUAAUAGUAUUCAGCUGCGUGGUGUUACGUUAUGAGGUUUCCUCUACUUCUGUUCAUCCUUUUAAAUGUGUGUAUUAUUAAUAUUAUUUGUGUUUUAUUUUUUGUUGAAUUUUCCCCGAAAAAAUAAAAUAUUGCGCACACGUAUUUUGUAUAUUUUUGUCGUUUUCUAGUUACGUUACUUUUGAAUAUUUUUAGUGGUCGCCCCGGACCGAACGAACACAAAUUCAGAAAUUAGUGUAUUGUUUUAUAGGCGAUAACAAGAAUUGAGUUGAAUUUCAAUCCGAAUUUUAGCUUCGUGUUGUGGGAGGGAUAUGUUUUUUUAGCUUUGAAAACACAUAAUCGGCCCCCCCAUCCUAAAUGAAACUAGGAAUAUGUAAAUUGUGCAUAUACGUUUCGCGUUAAUGUCAAGAAUGUGCCCCUUUUAGUGUUUCGACUUUAAUCACUCGGCUUUAUAAUUUUUAAGCGGAAAAUAUUAUAAUCUUUUUUGAAAAUACAGUAUAGUAAAUAGUAUUGUAAUAUUAAUUUACAGUAUUUGGUUGUUUAUACUUCAGUUAUUUGUUUUACGAAGAAUAUUUCUAUAAUAAUACAAAAUUGGUUGGGGAGAGGGAGGAAGAAUUUGACUUAAUAGCGAAGAGCUAAGCUGCUCAAUCACAGAGACUUGAAAUUCUUAUAGAAUAACAAGGCCGAUAUCGCGCCAAGCGUUUAAAUAACCGCAAUUAUGUCUGAUCUUUCGCUAUUGGCUAACGAUAAUAGUUACUAAUUAGCGCCGUCCGAGGCGUUCGUACAACAAGCUGAUCAGAGAACAAAUACUUACCACAAG